GGGGUGCAACUCCCCCGCGUCCACGAGUUUCCCGCGGCCAGCUUCCCACCACAAAGCUCGUCUCCCUCCCUCUUGCUCGGUGCGGCGCUCUCUGAUUGUCCCCGCGCGGUUGCGUGCUCGGCCCUGCGCUUAUAUGCACCACUCGCGCUCGCCUGCUUCUGGAUCCCUCUCCUCCUCCUCGCCAGUCCCACCUCCCCUUCUUCCUCGCAGCAGCCUUAUCUCUUCUCCGGCUCAGCCUAGCAAAAGCGCUCUCCGGCCAGCGAGAAAGCAAGAAGGCGGAGGCAUGAAGAUCCAGUGCGACUCGUGCGGCGUCGCGGCGGCCACGGUGGUGUGCUGCGCGGACGAGGCGGCGCUGUGCGCGCGCUGCGACGUGGAGAUCCACGCCGCUAACAAGCUCGCCAGCAAGCACCAGAGGCUCCCGCUCGACGCGCUCGGCGCCAAGCUCCCGCGCUGCGACAUCUGCCAGGAGAAGGCCGCCUUCAUCUUCUGCGUCGAGGACCGGGCGCUCUUCUGCCGCGACUGCGACGAGCCCAUCCACGUCCCCGGCACGCUCUCCGGGAACCACCAGCGCUACCUCGCCACCGGCAUCCGCGUCGGCCUCGGCCCCGUCUCCGCCUGCGCCGCCGGGGACCACGGCGCCGCCCACGACGCCGACCACCACGCCCCGCCCAAGGUCUCCUGCGAGCCCCAGCCCGCCGCCCGCGCGCAGCAGGUCCCCUCGCCGCCGCAGUUCCUGCCGCAGGACUGGGCCGUCGACGAGCUCCUGCAGUUCUCGGACUACGAGUCCAGCGACAAGCUGCACAAGGACUCGCCUCUCGCCUUCAAGGAGCUGGAGUGGUUCACCGCGGACAUGGAGCUCUUCCACGACCACGCGCCCAAGGGCGGCAGGGCGACCAUGGAGGUCCCCGAGUUCUUCGCCUCGCAGGCGGCAGACGACGCGGCCUACUACAGGCCGAGCAGAGUCGCCGCCACCGCCGGCGUGCGCCAGAGCAAGAAGGCCCGCGUCGAGAUCCCCGACGACGAGGACUUCUUCAUCGUGCCUGAUCUUGGCUAAGCGAUGCUCCUAGAUGCUAGUACCUCCUCGUGUGAUUUUGCAGUGUUGUUGUAUACAGAGAGGAGCUGUGUACAAAAGCUAGUCUUCUGUCGAACUGUGCCCCUGUGCAUCUUGACGUAGCAUCGCUGAACUGUGACAUAUAAUAAUUAUUAUCGUAAGAUAUGAGCUUUGCAAAAUGGACGCUUUUGAUGUACCUCUGUACUUUUGCACUAGUUAGAGCAUCUCUAGUGGCUUGUGUAAAUUUGGUAGUCUAUAUCUUCACAUACACAAUGGUGUAAUUCUUUUUCAUUUUAGACAACCUCAGUUUUUCAGUGGAUUGUCUAAAUUUGGUAGUCUAUGUCUCCAACGGCUAUAUUUUCAACAGCUACUUUUCCAACGACUAUUUCCAACGGCUAUAUUCCAGGUCUAUAUAUACCAUCCCUUCCACCUCUCAUUCAUCAAUCCUGAUUGUGCCUUCUCAUUCCUCUCCUGAAUUCCUUUGUCUUCUCUCACACAACAGAAUGAUGAGUGAAAACAUUUCUUCUUUGGAUAUGCUCAUGAAUUCGUCGUCGUCUUCAUCUGACGACGACGAACUCAUUCUUGUAGCAUUCGCAGAGCGCGAGAAGGAAGAGCAGAGGAAUCGUCGACGCCAUGGCGGUUCCAAGCAUGGACGUCAGACAAUCAAUCGAGCAAGAGAUGCAGGAUUUGUUCUACUAUGGAAUGACUACUUCAAAGAAAGUCCUCGCUAUCCCGAAAACUUAUUUCGGCGAAGGGUCAAACAAAGGAUGUGGAACGAGCCUUUGGAGUUUUGCAAUCCCGUUUUGCCAUUGUCCGAGGACCUGCGAAAGGAUGGAAACGUAAAGAAAUCGGUGAUGUCAUGAAAGCUUGUGUCAUAAUGCACAAUAUGACAGUUGAAGACGAACGACACACUGGUCAGCAAAACAACACUUAUGAGGCAAUGGGAGAAAGAGUCAGGGUGUCCUCUACUCAUGCGGAAGAGCUGAGUGCAUUUAUUCAGAUGCAUCAGCAAAUUAGAAACAAAGAUGAACAUUCUCAGCUUCAAGAUGAUCUAGUUGAGCACCUCUGGCAGAAGUUUGGAC
rnacentral:rRNA from 1 species